AGACGUCUACAUUAGAUACCCGCGUAGUCCCAGCCGUAAACUAUGCGCGUUAGGUGUAUCGGUGACCACGAGUUACCGAGGUGCCGAAGGGAAACCGUGAAACGUGCCGCCUGGGAAGUACGGUCGCAAGGCUGAAACUUAAGGAAUUGGCGGGGGAGCACCACAACGGGUGGAGCCUGCGGUUUAAUUGGACUCAACGCCGGACAACUCACCGGGAACGACAGCAAUAUGUAGGCCAGGCUGAAGACCUUGCCUGAAUCGCUG
rnacentral:rRNA from 1 species